rnacentral:lncRNA from 1 species
GAUUCAGUUUCUCUCUGUCUGAGGGUAUAUGUUCUUGCGCAUACAGAUUCGGUUUCUCUCUGCCUGAAGUUAUGUACUCUGGCUCGGAUUGAUUCAUUUUCUCUCCAUCUGAGGGUAAAUACUCUUGUUCAGAUUCAUUCAGUUUCUCUCCGCUUAAAGGAAUAUUCUCUUGCUCGGAUUGAUUCAGUUUCUCUUCGUCUGAGGGUAUAUAGUCUUGCUCGGAUUGAUACAUUUUCUCUUCUCCUGAAGUUAUAUACUCUGGCUCGGAUUGAUUCAGUUUCUCGCCGCCUGAGGUCGUAUGCUCUUGCUCAGAUUGAUUCAGUUUCUCGCCGCCUGAGGUCAUAUGGUCUUGCUCAGAUUGAUUCAGUUCCUCGCCGCCUGAGGUCGUGUGCUCUUGUUCAGAUUGAUUCAGUUUCUCUCCGCCUGUGGUCGUAUGCUCUUGUUCAGAUUGAUUCAGUCUUACUGAGUGUAUCUGCUCUACCUCCUCACUGUAUAAUAUGUCUUGUGUCUGGGAAAGUUCCGUGUGAGACACAAUUUGAAGACUCAGUACUGACUCGCUCUCAAUCAUCUGCCCAUUAAAGUGUUCACUGUAACUGGAUAUAGAUAAAUUCUCUAACUCUUGCUCCACCAAUCUAUCAAUUCUUUCUUCAUUAUUGUCCUCAUCAGAGCACAUCAUGGAGUACUCUCCAGGUUCUGUAAGUUCCUCAUAGGAUUGUUCCUCUUCUGCCUCCUGAAUCAACUGAUCUACUGCAUUCUCCUCAUCGUUCUCCUGUGUAGCAUGCUCCUUUGUUUGGCUAGCAUCCACGUCGUCUUGGUGAGUGGAGCCCAUGUUACGUUCCUGAUCUAUGACAUCCCCUUCUGACUCUUCAUACAGAUCCUCCAUGGUGUCAAACUGUUUGGACUUGCCUUCGCCCCAGGUGCCUGAUCCUGUCUGGCAAACCUCCCUGUCCUGUUCACCAUCACUGGAGUCACUUUCUCCCAUGUGUGAAGCCUGAGUGUUGGCAUCCGUCUCGUCACUCUUGUAACGGAUCAGGGGGUGUGUGUCGGCCAGUGUGUUGUCCUGAGCGUAGCUGUCACCUUCUAGCUCAGCCCUCCAUGAAACAGAAGUAUUUUGACAGUAGUUUGCCUCAUCAUGAUCCUCUUUGUCAUUGUCGGAUAGAUUCCGUUUCUCUCUGCCUAAAGGUAUAUGCUCUUGCUCAAAUUGAUUCAGUUUCUCUACAUUUGAAGGUAUAUGUUCUUGAUCAGACUGAUUUGGUUGGGUUUCUCUGUUAUUCCACAUCUCUUCCUCUUUCAUAUGAUCCUUUCCUUCUUGAUCCUUUCCUUCAUCCAUUCUUUCUCUAAUUCCAUUCUCUUCAGUGUAUCCUCCCACUCUAUCCCAUUCAUCAUUUACAUCCCCAUUGGGGUGCAAUGCAUAUUGCAUCUCACGUUUAUUAUACAUAUCAUUUUCAUCAUCCCCUUUUGUGAAAUUUAUAUCACCUUCCUCCAGUCUUUCAACAUGAUGAAAUACCUCUUCUGACCAGUGAGAAGCUUGAGCAGAUUCAUAUGAGAUAAUCACCUCUCGGUUGAACUUAUCGAUUCUUUCUGUCACACAAUUUUCCUUAUUGAACCCUGCCAAUCUUUCACAAUCAUCCUUACCAUACCCAUAGGGGCGCAAUUCAUCUUCCAAUUGCUCCUCAUCUUUGUUAGACAUGUAGUUUUCAUCAUCCUCUUUUGUGAGAUUAAUAACAUCUUCCUCCACUCUUUUAACAUGGUGAAAUGCCUCUUCUGAACCGUGGGAGGCUUGAGUAGAUGCAUAUGACAUAUUGUCCUCUUGGUUGAACUCUUUUGGCUUGUUGUACUCAAAAGCUUGACUGCUUGUGAAGGUCUCAAAUGCAGGUUCUAGCACUGAUUUAGUUUCAGACUCCAAGCCUUCUUUCCCCACCCAUUCAGCGUCUUUCCUUGCUGUUUCGAGAUCUCUUUCCUCCAAUGCAAUCAUGGGACCGUAAGGCAGAUCUAGUAGAGGUUCCUCCUUUUCAGAAGACAUUUCAAAAGGUACAUCAUUAUCAUCAUUUGCCGAGAAAGCAGAAUGUGCCCCUGUCACUGAACCUGCUCUCUCAUCCCUCACUGAAGGGCUGUAGAGCUCUUGAGCAUCAGUGCUGAACACAGUUGGCAUACUGAAGCUGAUCUCAACCUGGUGACUCAUGGCAGGUUCCAGAACUGGUUUGUCUUUAGCAACCCAGGUUCUGACUAUGUUCUGAUCCUCUUCCUCCUUUUCUAAAUCCCACAUGGAUUGUUCCUUAUGGUCAGAACCAAGCCAAGAUACAACAUCAGCUCCUGCCUCUUCAGUGGGAGGUGAGAGAGGCUCAGCAUAGUUGACUUCUUCAUGGACAUCUUGGGGUCUGAAGUGGUCGACUGAAAUUCCAUCCUGUGGUACUUUGGGGUAAGGCGUUGACCAAAUAACCUGCCGGUUGGACCCUAAGUCAAAGUCAACAUGCUCUUCCUCUGUCUUUCGACAACUCUCAGGUGUUUCGUUCAGGGUUACCUGGUUUUGAGUCCAGAUUGGUGAUGCGGACAUCAUUGUUACAUUGGAUCGUGGGCUUGCUCUAUGGAUGGUAGAGAAGGGACUGAUCAUGUGACUGGUAGCCAGCUGUGUCUGGAAGCUUUGCUUAACCCCUCGAGAGCUGGGGACUCCAUCUGUGAAUGACAUAGGAAGAUUAUUGAAUAGGUAGACCAUGCAUAAUGGUAAUGGGUAGGCCACAGGCCAGGGACUAUCAUAGAUAGACAUCAAUAAAGUUGAAAUGACACUGACAGUAAUCUUGACACUACCAGGAAACAUUCACCAAUGCUUUGAUUGCUUUUUGAAUGCAAAUCUCUGCCUAUUCCAAAAUGUCU